UACGUAGGGGGCAAGCGUUGUCCGGAUUUAUUGGGCGUAAAAGGCUUGUAGGUGGCCACGCCAAGUCGGAUGUGAAAUCUCCCGGCUCAACUGGGAGGGGUCAUUCGAUACUGGCGGGCUCGAGGCCGGUAGGGGGAAGUGGAAUUCCCGGUGUAGUGGUGGAAUGCGUAGAUAUCGGGAGGAACACCGGUGGCGAAGGCGGCGACCUGGGUAGAUACUGACGCUGAGGCGCGAAAGCGUGGGGAGCAAACAGG
rnacentral:rRNA from 1 species